rnacentral:rRNA from 1 species
UUAGAGUUUGAUCCUGGCUCAGGAUGAACGCUAGCGGGAGGCUUAACACAUGCAAGUCGAGGGGCAGCACGAGUAGCAAUACUUGGUGGCGACCGGCGGACGGGUGAGUAACGCGUAUGCAACCUACCAUUUACCGGGAAAUAGCUCGAAGAAAUUUGAAUUAAUGUCCCAUAGUAUCUAAGAGUAGCAUUAUUAUUAGAUUAAAGAUUAAUUGGUAAAUGAUGGGCAUGCGUCCCAUUAGUUAGUUGGCGAGGUAACGGCUCACCAAGACUACGAUGGGUAUGGGGUCUAAAAGGAUGGUCCCACACACUGGCACUGAGAUACGGGCCAGACUCCUACGGGAGGCAGCAGUGAGGAAUAUUGGUCAAUGGGCGAGAGCCUGAACCAGCCAUCCCGCGUGCAGGAAGAAUGUCCUAUGGAUUGUAAACUGCUUUUCCACUAGAAGAAUAAGAGCUACGUGUAGCUUUACGACGGUAUAGUGGGAAUAAGCAUCGGCUAACUCCGUGCCAGCAGCCGCGGUAAUACGGAGGAUGCGAGCGUUAUCCGGAUUUAUUAGGUUUAAAGGGUGCGUAGGCGGUAUUUUAAGUCAGUGGUGAAAGAUUGUAGCUCAACUAUGAUAAGCCAUAGAAACUGGAAUACUUGAGUGCAGAUGAGGUAGGCGGAAUGUGUUGUGUAGCGGUGAAAUGCAUAGAUAUAACACAGAACACCAAUUGCGAAGGCAGCUUACUAAAGUGUAACUGACGCUGAGGCACGAAAGCGUGGGGAUCGAACAGGAUUAGAUACCCUGGUAGUCCACGCUGUAAACGAUGUUCACUCGUUGUUGGCGAUAAACAGUCAGCGACUAAGCGAAAGCGAUAAGUGAACCACCUGGGGAGUACGGCGGCAACGCUGAAACUCAAAGGAAUUGACGGGGGCCCGCACAAGCGGAGGAACAUGUGGUUUAAUUCGAUGAUACGCGAGGAACCUUACCUGGGCUAGAAAAAGAUUGAUCGGCUUGGAAACAGGCUUUCCCUUCGGGGCAAUCUAUUAGGUGCUGCAUGGUUGUCGUCAGCUCGUGCCGUGAGGUGUCGGGUUAAGUCCCAUAACGAGCGCAACCCUCAUUGUUAGUUACCAUCAAGUAAAGUUGGGGACUCUAACGAGACUGCCGGCGUAAGCCGAGAGGAAGGUGGGGAUGACGUCAAAUCAGCACGGCCUUUAUGUCCAGGGCUACACACGUGUUACAAUGGCCAAUACAGAGGGCAGCAAUACCGUAAGGUGGAGCAAAUCCUAAAAGUUGGUCUUAGUUCGGAUCGGAGUCUGCAACUCGACUCCGUGAAGCCGGAUUCGCUAGUAAUCGCAGAUCAGCCAUGCUGCGGUGAAUACGUUCCCGGGCCUUGCACUCACCGCCCGUCA